GUUAGAUUCCAAUGUUUUUGAGGGCAAUAUACCAUGGCAGCUGUGUCAAUUGAAGUACAUUAUGGUAUUAAGCCUUUCUUCCAAUUUGUUAUCGGGCAGAAUCCCACGAUGUAUCAACAAUUUCCAAGUAUUGGCGGAGAAGGAGGCUGAACCUUCUCAUGGCUAUUAUUUAUAUCUUCGAUAUGCAAAGGUUGAGCUAAAGAAAGUGAUGUGGAUAGACUCACAAAGACAUGGUUUACAAGGUGG
rnacentral:misc_RNA from 1 species